GCAGGGGUGGCAGAGUCUGGUAAUGCGCAGGACUUAAGAUCCUGUGGCUUAGCGCCUUCGUGAGUUCAAAUCUCACCCCCUGCA
rnacentral:tRNA from 1 species